rnacentral:rRNA from 1 species
AGAGGGCUCAAGCGUUGUUCGGAUUCAUUGGGCGUAAAGGGUGCGUAGGCGGCGCGGUAAGUCGGGUGUGAAAUCCCCAGGCUUAACCUGGGAACUGCAUUCGAGACUGCAUUGCUAGAGUAUGGGAGAGGGAAGUGGAAUUUCCGGUGUAGCGGUGAAAUGCGUAGAUAUCGGAAGGAACAUCAGUGGCGAAAGCGACUUCCUGGACCAAUACUGACGCUCAUGUGCGAAAGCGUGGGGAGCAAACAGG